rnacentral:tRNA from 1 species
GAGGGUGUAGCUCAGUGGUAGAAUGCAUGUCUAGCAUGCACAAAGUCCUGGGUUCAAUCCCUAGUACCUCCA